GAGUGGGAAAGAGAUAGUAAUGCACGAUACGGAACCGUUUCGGGGGAGCUGUGACGCCAACCGCAAAGCCCUAAACCCUUCUGUCCCGCAGCUCUGCAACUGAAGUCGAGGCGAAACUAUUUCGUGUUUUUCUCCCUCACCUUGCACUCGCCAAUGGCUUCAGGCUGCGGCAGAAUUGCGCAAAGGACGUUUCUUGCGUCCGUAAAAUCUUCCAUCAAAUCCAAUCUUCGCACUUGUUCAUCCAGAUCAGCCACAAUUCCAGCUAUUCCUGGCAAAUCAACCACUUCUACUUUUCGCAGAUCCUCCUUAACCAGUAAGAUUGCACCGGAGUUGGGAUGCCUGCAGUCAAUGUUGCCACUACACAGUGCGGUUGCCAUUGCAAGAAUGACGUCUUGCCUGAGCAUAAAUUCCAGGAGUUGCCGAGCGCUUUCUCAGGGCACAUAGUUAAUUGGGGAUCUGCGGGACCUACCUAUUUUGGCCUACAGCUUCAUUAUCAAAGCUUGGAUUGUCAGUACCAAGGUGACCUGCCAGGAGAGAAAUUAUAUGAUUAACGUAUCGGAAGGCUUUUUUGUUUCGGAUGUUUAUGGGGAUCCAGCAAGCAGCAAUUCUGUGAUUCUUUCAAGCUCAUAAAUUCGUAUCAUGACGAAUAAUAUUUAGCCUGCCUAAUUUUAUGAAAUUAUAUCAUGCAUAAAGCAUAGUUACUAAUAGAAACUCCAGACUAUCUGCACUUAUCUCCAUUUAUUAUUAUACUCGAUUUUCAAGUC